rnacentral:rRNA from 1 species
CAUAGGUUAAUGAGGCGAACCGGGGGAACUGAAACAUCUAAGUACCCCGAGGAAAAGAAAUCAACCGAGAUUCCCCCAGUAGCGGCGAGCGAACGGGGAGGAGCCCAGAGCCUGAAUCAGUGUGUGUGUUAGUGGAAGCGUCUGGAAAGGCGCGCGAUACAGGGUGACAGCCCCGUACACAAAAAUGCACAUAUUGUGAGCUCGAUGAGUAGGGCGGGACACGUGGUAUCCUGUCUGAAUAUGGGGGGACCAUCCUCCAAGGCUAAAUACUCCUGACUGACCGAUAGUGAACCAGUACCGUGAGGGAAAGGCGAAAAGAACCCCGGCGAGGGGAGUGAAAAAGAACCUGAAACCGUGUACGUACAAGCAGUGGGAGCCUCUUUAUGGGGUGACUGCGUACCUUUUGUAUAAUGGGUCAGCGACUUAUAUUCUGUAGCAAGGUUAACCGAAUAGGGGAGCCGAAGGGAAACCGAGUCUUAACUGGGCGUUAAGUUGCAGGGUAUAGACCCGAAACCCGGUGAUCUAGCCAUGGGCAGGUUGAAGGUUGGGUAACACUAACUGGAGGACCGAACCGACUAAUGUUGAAAAAUUAGCGGAUGACUUGUGGCUGGGGGUGAAAGGCCAAUCAAACCGGGAGAUAGCUGGUUCUCCCCGAAAGCUAUUUAGGUAGCGCCUCGUGAAUUCAUCUCCGGGGGUAGAGCACUGUUUCGGCAAGGGGGUCAUCCCGACUUACCAACCCGAUGCAAACUGCGAAUACCGGAGAAUGUUAUCACGGGAGACACACGGCGGGUGCUAACGUCCGUCGUGAAGAGGGAAACAACCCAGACCGCCAGCUAAGGUCCCAAAGUCAUGGUUAAGUGGGAAACGAUGUGGGAAGGCCCAGACAGCCAGGAUGUUGGCUUAGAAGCAGCCAUCAUUUAAAGAAAGCGUAAUAGCUCACUGGUCGAGUCGGCCUGCGCGGAAGAUGUAACGGGGCUAAACCAUGCACCGAAGCUGCGGCAGCGACACUAUGUGUUGUUGGGUAGGGGAGCGUUCUGUAAGCCUGUGAAGGUGGCCUGUGAGGGUUGCUGGAGGUAUCAGAAGUGCGAAUGCUGACAUAAGUAACGAUAAAGCGGGUGAAAAGCCCGCUCGCCGGAAGACCAAGGGUUCCUGUCCAACGUUAAUCGGGGCAGGGUGAGUCGACCCCUAAGGCGAGGCCGAAAGGCGUAGUCGAUGGGAAACAGGUUAAUAUUCCUGUACUUGGUGUUACUGCGAAGGGGGGACGGAGAAGGCUAUGUUGGCCGGGCGACGGUUGUCCCGGUUUAAGCGUGUAGGCUGGUUUUCCAGGCAAAUCCGGAAAACCAAGGCUGAGGCGUGAUGACGAGGCACUACGGUGCUGAAGCGACAAAUGCCCUGCUUCCAGGAAAAGCCUCUAAGCAUCAGGUAACAUCAAAUCGUACCCCAAACCGACACAGGUGGUCAGGUAGAGAAUACCAAGGCGCUUGAGAGAACUCGGGUGAAGGAACUAGGCAAAAUGGUGCCGUAACUUCGGGAGAAGGCACGCUGAUAUGUAGGUGAAGCGACUUGCUCGUGGAGCUGAAAUCAGUCGAAGAUACCAGCUGGCUGCAACUGUUUAUUAAAAACACAGCACUGUGCAAACACGAAAGUGGACGUAUACGGUGUGACGCCUGCCCGGUGCCGGAAGGUUAAUUGAUGGGGUUAGCGGUAACGCGAAGCUCUUGAUCGAAGCCCCGGUAAACGGCGGCCGUAACUAUAACGGUCCUAAGGUAGCGAAAUUCCUUGUCGGGUAAGUUCCGACCUGCACGAAUGGCGUAAUGAUGGCCAGGCUGUCUCCACCCGAGACUCAGUGAAAUUGAACUCGCUGUGAAGAUGCAGUGUACCCGCGGCAAGACGGAAAGACCCCGUGAACCUUUACUAUAGCUUGACACUGAACAUUGAGCCUUGAUGUGUAGGAUAGGUGGGAGGCUUUGAAGUGUGGACGCCAGUCUGCAUGGAGCCGACCUUGAAAUACCACCCUUUAAUGUUUGAUGUUCUAACGUUGGCCCGUAAUCCGGGUUGCGGACAGUGUCUGGUGGGUAGUUUGACUGGGGCGGUCUCCUCCUAAAGAGUAACGGAGGAGCACGAAGGUUGGCUAAUCCUGGUCGGACAUCAGGAGGUUAGUGCAAUGGCAUAAGCCAGCUUGACUGCGAGCGUGACGGCGCGAGCAGGUGCGAAAGCAGGUCAUAGUGAUCCGGUGGUUCUGAAUGGAAGGGCCAUCGCUCAACGGAUAAAAGGUACUCCGGGGAUAACAGGCUGAUACCGCCCAAGAGUUCAUAUCGACGGCGGUGUUUGGCACCUCGAUGUCGGCUCAUCACAUCCUGGGGCUGAAGUAGGUCCCAAGGGUAUGGCUGUUCGCCAUUUAAAGUGGUACGCGAGCUGGGUUUAGAACGUCGUGAGACAGUUCGGUCCCUAUCUGCCGUGGGCGCUGGAGAACUGAGGGGGGCUGCUCCUAGUACGAGAGGACCGGAGUGGACGCAUCACUGGUGUUCGGGUUGUCAUGCCAAUGGCACUGCCCGGUAGCUAAAUGCGGAAGAGAUAAGUGCUGAAAGCAUCUAAGCACGAAACUUGCCCCGAGAUGAGUUCUCCCUGAGACUUAGAGUCUCCUGAAGGAACGUUGAAGACGACGACGUUGAUAGGCCGGGUGUGUAAGCGCAGCGAUGCGUUGAGCUAACCGGUACUAAUGAACCGUGAG